rnacentral:rRNA from 1 species
CCUACGGGUGGCAGCAGUGAGGAAUAUUGGUCAAUGGACGAGAGUCUGAACCAGCCAAGUAGCGUGAAGGAUGACUGCCCUAUGGGUUGUAAACUUCUUUUAUAAAGGAAUAAAACGAGGCACGUGUGCCUUUUUGCAUGUACUUUAUGAAUAAGGAUCGGCUAACUCCGUGCCAGCAGCCGCGGUAAUACGGAGGAUCCGAGCGUUAUCCGGAUUUAUUGGGUUUAAAGGGAGCGUAGGUGGGUUGUUAAGUCAGUUGUGAAAGGUUGCGGCUCAACCGUAAAAUUGCAAUUGAUACUGGCAGUCUUGAGUACAGUUGAGGUAGGCGGAAUUCGUGGUGUAGCGGUGAAAUGCUUAGAUAUCACGAAGAACCCCGAUUGCGAAGGCAGCUUACUAAACUGUGACUGACAUUGAUGCUCGAAAGUGUGGGUAUCAAACAGGAUUAGAUACCCCAGUAGUC